AGUUUAAUAAUUUAUUUAAAAAUAUUAAAUUGCAAAUUUAAAAAUAUUAAUUUAUUUAAUUUAAACUU
rnacentral:tRNA from 2 species